GGGGGCGACUUGGCUUCGACGCCGGUUGCGAAACCUGAAGUGCAUGUCGAGAGGGUAGUGACUCUCGUUAAUAAAUCGCUGUAACUUCUUAUAGUUGCCAAUGACGAAAACUACGCACUAGCUGCCUAAAAACUCUUUUUUAAGAACUUUUUAGAUUAGCUUGACCCGGGGCGAAUGUGCCCAUGUAUUCAAACCGGGUGCGCGACUCAUGGGACCGCUGCCAGACCCCGCUUGUGGUUAAAGCAGCUAAACUUAAAGCAAGCUCGCCUUUCAAUCCCUGUUUGUCGGGCCAGUGGAAGGUUAAACAGUAGACAAAAUAAGCAUGUAGAACUGAGGGCAGAGAACUGACGGACGCGGGUUCGAUUCCCGCCGCCUCCACCA
rnacentral:tmRNA from 2 species